CUUGGUCAUUUAGAGGAAGUAAAAGUCGUAACAAGGUUUCCGUAGGUGAACCUGCGGAAGGAUCAUUCAUAAUAAGUGUUUUAUGGCACUUUUUAAAUCCAUAUCCACCUUGUGUGCAAUGUCAGUCGAUCUUCUUCAUGGAGAUCGACCAAACAUCAACCUUUAUCUUUUAACUCUUUGUCUGAAAAAUAUUAUGAAUAAACAAUUCAAAAUACAACUUUCAACAACGGAUCUCUUGGCUCUCGCAUCGAUGAAGAACGCAGCGAAAUGCGAUACGUAAUGUGAAUUGCAGAAUUCAGUGAAUCAUCGAAUCUUUGAACGCAUAUUGCGCUCUUUGGUAUUCCGAAGAGCAUGCUUGUUUGAGUAUCAGUAAACACCUCAAAGCUUUUGGAUUUUUUAAUCGAAAAGCUUUGGACUUGAGCAAUCCCAACACCAAUCUUUUUGAGAUCGGUGGCGGGUUGCUUGAAAUGCAGGUGCAGCUGGACAUUCUCCUGAGCUAAAAGCAUAUUCAUUUAGUCCCGUCAAACGGAUUAUUACUUUUGCUGCAGCUAACAUAAAGGGAGUUUGACCGUAUUGGCUGACUGAUGCAGGAUUUCACAAGGGUCGGCAACGAUUCUUGUUAAACUCGAUCUGAAAUCAAGUAAGACUACCCGCUGAACUUAAGCAUAUCAAUAAGCGGAGGA
rnacentral:rRNA from 1 species